UACGGGGGGGGCAAGCGUUGUUCGGAAUUACUGGGCGUAAAGGGCUCGUAGGCGGCCAACUAAGUCAGACGUGAAAUCCCUCGGCUUAACCGGGGAACUGCGUCUGAUACUGGAUGGCUUGAGGUUGGGAGAGGGAUGCGGAAUUCCAGGUGUAGCGGUGAAAUGCGUAGAUAUCUGGAGGAACACCGGUGGCGAAGGCGGCAUCCUGGACCAAGUCUGACGCUGAGGAGCGAAAGCAGGGGGAGCAAACGGG
rnacentral:rRNA from 1 species